rnacentral:rRNA from 1 species
AGAGUGAACGCUGGCGGCAGGCCUAACACAUGCAAGUCGAACGUCCUGUCUCGCAAGAGGCAGGGAGUGGCGGACGGGUGAGUACCACGUGGGUUAUCUACCGUGAGGUGAGGAAUACCGGCGAGAAAUCGCCGACAAGACCGCAUAGCCUCGGUGCAAGUCGAGGAAAGCUCUCUCGAGAGAGGGAGCGCCACACGAGGAGCCUGCGCCCGAUUAGCUAGCUGGUGGAGUAAUGGUUCACCAGGGCGACGAUCGGUAGCUGGUCUGAGAGGACGAUCAGCCACACUGGGAUUGAGAACGGCCCAGACUCCUACGGGGGGCAGCAGUGAGGAAUUUUCGUCAAUGGGGGCAACCCUGAACGAGCAACGCCGCGUGCAGGAAGAAGGUUUUCGGAUCGUAAACUGCUUUUCUCGGGGAAGAGAACGGACGGUACCCGAGGAAUCAGCCCCGGCUAACUACGUGCCAGCAGCCGCGGU